rnacentral:rRNA from 1 species
GGAAUCGAACCGGUACGGUGAUCUCUCACCGCAGGAUUUUAAGUCCUGUGCGU